UGCGUUUAAAGUCUGCUAAAAAAGGAUCGGCAGAACUCAAAGCGUUGCUUAAAUCGGCAACUCCGUGUUUCCGUCUCAUCGCCCCAUCGGAAAGCCUUAAUGAUUCUAAAUUCGCAAUACUCAGCACCCGGGGGUAAGGAGAAAAAAAUUGGAAGAAAAUGUGUUUUUUUAAAGGCAGCGGACACGCGGAUGGAGCGUUCAUUGUAAUUGGAGGACUUCCUGUAGAAAACGAGCUCCUCUUCCUUGAAUGACCUGUUCGUAUGAAAAGAAUCCUAUCCUACCUGGCAAGAAAAAAACGAUUUAUCUCAAUUCAAUUCAGCCCGUCUUCGGCAAAUGGAAAAAAUAAAAAAGAACGCAUAUGCAGAAGUCGUAAAUAAGCCAAUCUUGGCAUGAAAUCUAGACAGUCGUUUAUAUUUGUUUGCAGAAAGACGGGAUUACAUUCGUCCCUAGGAUCCCAUUACACAAACAUCAAAACACGUAUAUUCAAAUAGGCUUUGUACGGAAAUCGAGUCUCAAAUAGUAAAAGAAAAAAAAAAGGUAGGACGCAUAAAGACAUAAUGGAGGGAUAACAAGAGUUUUGACAUCUUAAAAAAAGAAAAAUGCACUUUGGAUCAGCGAGGAAUAGACUUACUUACUCUUAUAAAAUAUGAUGAUUAACGAUUUUCUGGUUCAUUGAAUAUCAGGUAGGGACUAACCUACUUAAUAUAAAGUCGUCAGACAGAAGCAAACUAUGUCAAUCCAGCAAGGUGUCACCUUGAACUUUUGAAUAGAUAAAAGCACACUAACCGACUGCUGCUGGCAGAGGAAAGUGGAAUAGACCAAAAUGAUCGAAACUCCAAGCCUGAGGUUCAUCAUCCUACAGACAUCAAGAAGAAAGCUCA